rnacentral:rRNA from 1 species
AGUGAACGCUGGCGGCAGGCCUAACACAUGCAAGUCGAGCGGCAGCGGGGUCCCCGCGAGGGGAGUGCCGGCGAGCGGCGGACGGGUGAGGAACACAUCGGAAUCUGCCUGGUUGUGGGGGAGUAACGUAGGGAAACUUACGCUAAUACCGCAUGCGACCCUGAGUCGACGGACUUGGGGUGAAAGUGAGGGACCUUCGGCCUCACGCGACCAGAUGAGCCGAUGUCGGAUUAGCUAGUUGGCGGGGUAACGGCCCGCCAAGGCGACGAUCCGUAGCUGGUCUGAGAGGAUGAUCAGCCACACUGGGACUGAGACACGGCCCAGAC